rnacentral:misc_RNA from 1 species
AACGCACCUUGCGCUCCUUGGUAUUCCGAGGAGCAUGCCUGUUUGAGUGUCAUUAAUAUAUAUAUCAACCCCUCUUUGUUGAGUGGCUUGGAUGUGGGGGUUGCUGGCCAGGUUCAGCUCUCCUGAAAUGCAUUAGCAGAACAACCUGUUCAUUCAUUGGUGUGAUAACUAUCUACGCUAUUGAAUGUGAGGUGGAUCAGCUUCUUAACAGUCCUUCUUGGACAAUUCAUCAUUUAAUGUGACCUCAAAUCAGGUAGGACUACCCGCUGAACUUAA